rnacentral:rRNA from 1 species
AUUGAACGCUGGCGGCAGGCCUAACACAUGCAAGUCGAGCGGAGGAAGGGAGCUUGCUCCUGGAUUCAGCGGCGGACGGGUGAGUAAUGCCUAGGAAUCUGCCUGGUAGUGGGUGAUAACGUCCGGAAACGGGCGCUAAUACCGCAUACGUCCUGAGGGAGAAAGUGGGGGAUCUUCGGACCUCACGCUAUCAGAUGAGCCUAGGUCGGAUUAGCUAGUUGGUGGGGUAAAGGCCUACCAAGGCGACGAUCCGUAACUGGUCUGAGAGGAUGAUCAGUCACACUGGAACUGAGACACGGUCCAGACUCCUACGGGAGGCAGCAGUGGGGAAUAUUGGACAAUGGGCGAAAGCCUGAUCCAGCCAUGCCGCGUGUGUGAAGAAGGUCUUCGGAUUUUAAAGCACUUUAAGUUGGGAGGAAGGGCAGUAAGUUAAUACCUUGCUGUUUUGACGGUACCAACAGAAUAAGCACCGGCUAACUUCGUG